rnacentral:misc_RNA from 1 species
GAAUCAGUGACUGUUCAACGGGCCUAUUUGUGGGGACGAAGAUCGUGUUCAAGGGGUUGUCUGACAUUCCUUGACCAACAAACUUAUUGUCAAGAACCACCGGGAUGUUGAACUUUUCCAAUUCGGCCUUUGGUCCGAUUCCACUAAGCAUCAGAAUGUGAGGGCUCCCAAUUGCACCAGAUGACACUAUAAUCUCACUUCCCUUCCUAGUCGAAAGAAAUGCCUUGUGUUCUUUCCCAUUUUCAUCUUUGAAAAUGACUCCCACUGCCCGUGGCUUCUUUCCUGAUGUAUCAAAGUCAAUCUUUUGAACUGUGGCAUGCACCAGAACAUCCAACUUGUUAGGAUUAGCAGAGGCAAGUAGUUCAGCAGCAGAGUGACGACGUCCAAAGCGGUCGAAUAUGGUCCCACCAACCUUGGUUCCAUAGAUGUGAUCAUACGUGAAUCCAUUGAAAGGUGAGAUACCAAUUUCAAGUAGACUUUCCCUUACUGCUUCUUGCCAUGGAGCCAAGUUUGGUCUAUAAACAAUUUGUUUCUCAACCCAAGGAUAUGAUUCAUUCACCAAUUUAGAAUCCCAUCCCGCUUUCUUAAUGUAACUGGGACCAGCGCGAGUAUAAAAGCCAGCAUUAAUACAAGUGGCUCCACCCAAAAUUCUAGCUCUAGAAUUAAAAACCCCAUCGGUAGAAACGAAGAAUUGUGAAGCAGAAGUAGAUGAAGUGUCAGCAAGAGAGAUGUGAAAAUUUUGCAUGAAUGACACAUUUGUAUUUGUAAAUGGAACUCCACCUCUUUCAACUAAUAAAACUUUGAAUUUUUUUGAUAAUGUGGCUGCUAAAGGACAACCAGC